GAGGAGGAGGAGGAAUUGUUUAAAGGAAUCUACCCCAAGGAGGUGUGUUUGAGUGAAGAAGGAAGAAACUGAUGACACCCAGCAAGCCUCUGAGAGCAGAAAGCCCCAAUGAGCACAAAGGACCAGAGUCAGGAGAGGAGAAGCCAGAGUGCCAGUGUGGCUGGAGCAGUGCAGUGUGAAGAAGAAGAGGCGAGAACGACCCCGGACUGACCAAAGCCAGCCGCUGCGUGCCCCGGUCCAGCGCCUGCAUCCCGCCGCCGUCGCCACCAUGCCCAAGAGAAAGGCUGAAGGGGAUGUGAAGGAGACAAAGCCCAGGUGAAGGACAACCACAGAGAAGAUCCGCAAGGCUGUCCGCUGACCUGCUCCUCCAAAGCCAGAGCCCAAGCCUAAAAAGGCCCCUGCAAAGAAGGGAGAGAAGUCCCCACAGGGAAAAAGGGAACAGCUGACCCUGGCGAGGCUGGGGAUACCCUGCAGAAGAUGGAGAUGCCCAAAGAGGCCGGGCACAGACAGCUGAGGGGCUGGAGACGCAGGGCAGUGUGUGCCUUUCUGAUAACUGGGACUUCUGGUGGCUGCACGGUUUGAAAUACUAUUUUUUAUCAAGUUUUAUAAAGAUGCAGAAUUUUGUUUUACUUUUUUUUUAAGCCAUGUUGUUAGCACACAGAACACUUCAUUGCUGUUUUUUGGGGGAAGGAGCAUACGUCACUAGUAGAAUGUCUCCAAAGCUGGAUUGCUGUGGGGAAACACACCUUUCCCUUCUAGUUUUGAGAGACUUCCUCUUGGUUCCCAAGAGGAAGGGAUUCCCUGAUGUUGGCACACACAGCCACCUGGGCACAAAUGCCUUGUGCUAUGGAAAAACUCAAACUCAUCUGUAUGUCCUCCUCCCGCUCUCUGGCAUCAGCAUGGACUUAACUCCCCUGAACUCAGACCUGUUGGGACCUGAUUCCCAGCAAUGGGUUUCACCAGUGUGGGGGGCAAUCUGGACUUUCCAGUGACGUCGUUGAGAACAGUGUCCCUCAGAAGAGCAGCAGUUCCUUUUCUAGAUGGUGGAUCUUCAGAUUAAUAAUUUUGGCCAUUCUCCUUUCAUUUCCUGAAAGUCAGGGCCGACUUGUGAAAAGUUGUUAAACAUGCUAAAUGUGAAAGGUCAACCCUCACUCUAAACUUCUCCUAUUCAGAGCAUCAGAUGAAGACUUCAUUGGGUUUUAUAGUGGCUUUCUGAUUUUGGUAGUCUGUCUGCCUAUGACCUGCCUGAAACACCAUGAUUGUUUAUGAAAUGUAUCUUUAAUAAAGCUGGAUACAGUUUGGCUUGGAAAAAAAUAAAAUAAACUACAAAAUAGGCCUGGG